AACGAACGCUGGCGGCAUGCCUAACACAUGCAAGUCGAACGAGACCUUCGGGUCUAGUGGCGCACGGGUGCGUAACGCGUGGGAACCUGCCCUUAGGUUCGGAAUAACUCCCCGAAAGGGGUGCUAAUACCGGAUCAUGUCUUCGGCCCAAAGAUUUAUCGCCUUUGGAUGGGCCCGCGUUGGAUUAGAUAGUUGGUAGGGUAAAAGCCUACCAAGGCGUCGAUCCAUAGCUGGUCUGAGAGGAUGAUCAGCCACACUGGGACUGAGACACGGCCCAGACUCCUACGGGAGGCAGCAGUGGGGAAUAUUGGAAAAUGGGCGAAAGCAUGAUCCAGCAAUGACGCGUGAGUGAUGAAGGCCUUAGGGUUGUAAAGCUCUUUUACCCGGGAUGAUAAUGACAGUACCGGGAGAAUAAGCCCCGGCUAACUCCGUG
rnacentral:rRNA from 1 species